rnacentral:rRNA from 1 species
UACAGAGGUCCCAAGCGUUGUUCGGAUUCACUGGGCGUAAAGGGUGCGUAGGCGGUUGGGUAAGUCGGGUGUGAAAUCUCGGAGCUUAACUCCGAAACUGCAUUCGAUACUGCCGUGCUUGAGGACUGGAGAGGAGACUGGAAUUUACGGUGUAGCGGUGAAAUGCGUAGAUAUCGUAAGGAAGACCAGUGGCGAAGGCGGGUCUCUGGACAGUUCCUGACGCUGAGGCACGAAGGUCAGGGGAGCAAACGGG